GGUAGCUCAGUGGUAGAGUGCUUGCCUUGCAUGCAUGAAGCCCUGGGUUUGAUUCCUCAGUACCA
rnacentral:tRNA from 1 species